rnacentral:rRNA from 1 species
AGAGUUUGAUCCUGGCUCAGAACGAACGCUGGCGGCAGGCUUAACACAUGCAAGUCGAGCGCCCCGCAAGGGGAGCGGCAGACGGGUGAGUAACGCGUGGGAAUCUACCCAGCUCUACGGAAUAACUCAGGGAAACUUGUGCUAAUACCGUAUACGUCCGAAAGGAGAAAGAUUUAUCGGAGUUGGAUGAGCCCGCGUUGGAUUAGCUUGUUGGUGGGGUAAAAGCCUACCAAGGCGACGAUCUUUAGCUGGUCUGAGAGGAUGGUCAGCCACAACGGCACUGAGACACGGGCCGUACACCUACGGGUGGCGCAGUCGGGAAUUUUAGACAAUGGGCGAAAGCCUGAUCUAGCGACGCCGCGUGGAGGAUUGAAGGCCUUCGGGUUGUAAACUCCUUUUAUCUGGGAAGAUUAUGACGGUACCAGAUGAAUAAGCACCUGCUAACUACGUGCCAGAAGCCUCGGUAAGACGUAGGGUGCAAGCGUUAUCCGGAUUCAUUGGGCGUAAAGAGUUGCGUAGGCGGAUUUGUACAUCUCACUUAAAAGCCCAUGGCUCAACCAUGGUUUUGGGUGGGAUAUGGCAAGUCUUGAUAUUUGGAGAGGGUACUGGAACUGAUCAUGUAGCAGUGAAAUGCGUUGAUAUGAUCAGGAACACCGAAGGCGUAGGCAGGUACCUGGCCAAAUUAUGACGCUGAGGCACGAAAGCAUGGGGAGCGAAGCAGAUUAGAGACCUGCGUAGUCCAUGCCGUAAACGAUCCUUGCUAGAUAGGCGCUUUUUUGUGCCUGUCGUAAGCUAACGCGUUAAGCAAGGCGCCUGGGGAGUACGAGCGCAAGCUUAAAACUCAAAGGAAUUGACGG